rnacentral:tRNA from 1 species
CUAAGGUAGAAUUCUCCACGAGACUUCGGUUUCGUAUUGAAUUCGCUUGGAACAAAGAAGCCAAAUCAGGCUUCGACAUGCGGAAUUUCGCCGUCUUCGUUUCUCUUUCUUAAAUUCCGGGCGAAAGCGCCUGGCCCGUCGGCAUCGGCCGACCGUGGCCGGUGCUUUCAAUGGGCCAACGCUUCAGGUCUUUUCUGAGAUCUUUGCGGGUUCUUGGCCGCGAGGAGAUCCUCGAGGUUUCGGACCUCGGGCCUGUAGCUCAGUUGGUUAGAGCGCGCGCUUGAUAAGCGUGAGGUCGGAGGUUCAAAUCCUCCCAGGCCCACCAGCUUCCUUAAGCGCCGUUUUCCCUGAUUGGGGCCAUAGCUCAGUUGGGAGAGCGGUAGCUUUGCAAGCUUCAGGUCGUCGGUUCGAUCCCGUCUGGCUCCACCAGAACCCCCGGAAUUGCUUGGUUUUACAGAUUGUCGCCCCUUAAGGCGACGAUUGGUAACGCUGUUUGUCAUCGUGAAGAGGGAAUAGAUUCGAGAGCUGCACUCUCGCAGCGCGCUCGCGGCUACCAUGCCGCGUUGUGGAAUCGGGUCUAUUCGGCAAGCAUAAUGGUCUUUCUGAUUUUGUGCGCGGCUUGAAUGCUGCGGACAUCGAUCAUGAGAACG